rnacentral:SRP_RNA from 1 species
GCCAUGCGCAGUGGCGCAUGCCUGUAUCCCCAGCUACUCGGGAGGCUGAGGCUGGAGGAUCUCUUGAGUCCAGGAGCUCUGGGCUGUAGUGCGUUAUGCCGAUAGGGUGUUCGCACUAAGUUAGGCAUCAGUAUGGUGACCUCCCGGGAGCGGGGGACCACCAGGUUGCCUAAGGAGGGGUGAACCAGCCCAGGUCAGAAACAGAGCAGGUCAAAACUCCUGUGCUGAUCAGUAGUGGGAUCGCGCCUGUGAAUAGCCACCGCACUCCAGCCUGGGCAACAUAGCAAGACCACAUCUCC